rnacentral:rRNA from 1 species
GUAGGUGGCAAGCGUUGUCCGGAAUUAUUGGGCGUAAAGCGCGCGCAGGCGGUUCUUUAAGUCUGAUGUGAAAGCCCACGGCUCAACCGUGGAGGGUCAUUGGAAACUGGAGAACUUGAGUACAGAAGAGGAAAGCGGAAUUCCACGUGUAGCGGUGAAAUGCGUAGAGAUGUGGAGGAACACCAGUGGCGAAGGCGGCUUUCUGGUCUGUAACUGACGCUGAGGCGCGAAAGCGUGGGGAGCAAACAGGGAUUAGAUACCCUGGCAGUCCACGCCGUAAGCGAUGAGUGCUAAGUGUUAGGGGGUUUCCGCCCCUUAGUGCUGCAGCUAACGCAUUAAGCACUCCGCCUGGGAGUACGGCCGCAAGGCUG